rnacentral:rRNA from 1 species
UACGUAGGGUGCGAGCGUUGUCCGGAAUUAUUGGGCGUAAAGAGCUCGUAGGCGGUCUGUCGCGUCGAUCGUGAAAACUUGGGGCUUAACCCUGAGCUUGCGGUCGAUACGGGCAGACUGGAGUACUGCAGGGGAGACUGGAAUUCCUGGUGUAGCGGUGGAAUGCGCAGAUAUCAGGAGGAACACCGGUGGCGAAGGCGGGUCUCUGGGCAGUAACUACGUGAGGAGCGAAAGCGUGGGGGAGCGAACAGGA